rnacentral:rRNA from 1 species
GACGAACGCUGGCGGCGUGCCUAAUACAUGCAAGUCGAACGCAGUGGGGACGGGUGAGUAACACGUGGGUCACCUCCCAUCAGAGGGGAUAACACUUGGAAACAGGUGCUAAACCGAUACUGAUGGAUGGACCCGCGGUGCAUUAGCUAGUUGGUGAGGUAACGGCUCACCAAGGCCACGAUGCAUAGCCGGCCUGAGAGGGUGAUCGGCCACACUGGGACUGAGACACGGUCCAGACUCCUACGGGAGGCAGCAGUAGGGAAUCUUCGGCAAUGGACGAAAGUCUGAUCGAGCCACGCCGCGUGGAUGAAGAAGGUUUUCGGGUUGUAAAGUUCUUUUGGUAGGGAAGCGGUACCCAACCAGGAAGCCCCGGCUAACUACGUGCCAGCAGCCGCGGUAAUAC